AUAAGAUUGACCUUAACAUGUUCUUGUACAGGCUUUGUCUUUCCUGGGGAAGACUGUGUAUAGAAGAAAGACUCACUGCUCUGCUGUUGACCUGCAGGUCUUUGCAAUUCUCAAAGUAUAUGACAAUCCUAUAGGUCAGAAAUGUCUUCAGGACCAUGAAUUCUUCAGGGAACAUACAGAGCUUGGUGGGGAGGAGUGUGAGCUGCCAAGAGGGAUUUGAUAGCUGAACGGCUCCCUCCUCCUUCACCUGAAAUGCUCCUUCCCCCUCCCAUCGAGAAUCAAAGAUGGUGCUGGAAUAAAGCAGAGAUAAGGAAUGCUACUUUCUAGAAAAGUAUGCAAAAGGAGAUAUAACCAAUAAAGUGCUUUUAACAUCCAAUUCACACAACCCAUUUUACAGACGUCACUAUCAUCUAUAUAAACCUUGUACAGUCUCUUCCUGGUUUA